rnacentral:lncRNA from 1 species
AUAUUAUUUCUUUUACAGCCCUUCAGCGAGUAUGAUUCUACACAAUGCUAUGGAUCAUUUGGCUCCAGAGGAAUAAUCUUUACUCUUGAGAAAUUUCAAUUUUAUUUAAGUCUAUCGAUUAAGAAAAAUGGAUGUCCAGGUUUGACUUAUACUAGGUAAAUGUGGUUGGAGUUUUUCAGAUAGAAGUCCCCAUUGGGGACAGUGAGAUUUCAAAUAGUAUAUACGGAAGCCUAGAUGAAGUCUGUAGUUUAAAAAAACAUAUUGGCUAAAUUAUAAAUAUAUUUUUCCUUACCCUUCACAAAAUUUAUUAUGCCACAUCAUAAACCUCAUAUCUAAAAUCCUGUAGAUACUUUCUAAAUAUAUGGAAUUAUAAGAGUAUCUUUUGGCACCUGCCUAGAAUCCCAGCAGUUUGGGAGGCUGAGGCAGGAGGAUCACAUGUUCAAAGCCAGACUUAGCAAUUGGUCUCUAAGUAAAAUUUUUAAAAGGGCUGGGAAUGUUGCUCAGUAGUUAAGCUCCCCUGGGUUCAAUCCCUGAUACCAAAAAGAAACCAAGAAAAAUUGUCUUUUCUAAGAAUCUAUUGUUCAAUGCA